GGCUUAGAGGCGUCAUUUCUAUCGGAAGGGAAAAAAUAAAAAUAAAAAUAAAAAUAAAACUCAACCGAAGCCCCUAAUUCAUUCUCACCCAUUCAUCUGCGACUUUGAAUUUUUCUCUCGUUUCUCAAUGAUUCUCUGGUAAGAUUUUGUUUCAAAAUCUAUUUGGAAUAGUCCAAGCUUGAUUUUUUCCCGGAAUUCUUUUGACGGUGUGAAACAAUCCAUUGUAUAUUUGAUUGUUUUGUAUCUCGAUGAUUUCCAUUGGUGUUCUUGGUAAAAGUAUGUGAUUAAUCAAAGAGAACCUUGCCUGCUUUUGAAGAAUCUGGGCUUUUAUGGUAAUCUCUUCCCUCUUUUGAAGGUUUUUAGGUCCAAAAUUUCAAUUAAUUUCGAUAGAAAGGGUUAGAUUUCAAUUAAUUUUUACUGAAAGGGUUUUUAGGUGCUGUGCAUUUCUUGUAUUCUAUGCGCUCUUGUAUAUUUUCAAAUUUUGCAUUUGUUGAAAAAUGUUCUGUUCUUCUUAUGUUUCUAUUUCUUUUCCUAUGGUAUUUUAAGUUUUCACCAUUUCAAUUAUUUAUGUAAGUAUGAAACUUUUGGAAAAGAACAUUGCUUCUUUUCAGAUUUGUAGCCCCAAGUUAUUGGGUAUUUGUGUUUUAUAUGAACGAUAUGGCAGUAAAGGUAUCCUUGCUGUUUUCAGAUACUUGUUAUUGUUUGGGGUCAUAUUUUGAAAUGGUUAACCUAUUGUGUGACCUAUUUCGAAGUAGUUUGCUGUUUAAAGAUGUUUGAACUCAUUUACUUGGUAGUUUAGUGACUGAAGGUGAUAUUUGUGAAUGAAAUUAUAUUUGUUACAAGUUCAACAAUGAACGGUUGCUUCAAUCCAUUUUCUCUUAUGUUGAUAUCAUUGUUUUGCUGGAAAUGUUAUAUUAUGGAGAAGUGAUGUUUUAUUGAAAGUGUCCGCUAAUUUUGUCUUGGGAGAAUAGAUGAUGGAAAAAGUGGAAAGUAAUUCUUUGAUGGACUUCGAAAAUGUCAACAUGGAGUACAAUAUGAAUGUAGUUGAAAGUCAAACGGUGGGGGGAGAUGGAGUGAUUGUGCCAGAGGUUGGUAUGAAGUUCAAGAACAAAAAUGAAGUCUUUGAUUUUUACAAGUUAUAUGCUUACAACAUAGGUUUUUCAAUGAGAAAAAGGAAUUCGAGAAAGGAUGACGAUGGAGUUUUGCGAUACGUGACUUUCACAUGUAGAGGUUGAAAAAACGUAACACAAGCGGUUCUUUGAAGCCACAGCCUACAAUUCGAAUGGGUUGUAAAGCCAGGGUCUCUAUGUCUGCAGAUAAUCAUGGUUACUAGAGAAGUAAUAUGGUACACCUCGAUCACAAUCACAAAACAAGUCCAACGAAGUGGAGAUUGUAUUGAUGCAAUUGAUAACUAAGUGCGAUGUGAAAAAGAAGCUUGAAGUGAAUGACAUGGCUGGAAUUCCAUUAUACAAAAAUUUCAAUUCUGUAGUUGUCGAAGUCGAUGGAUAUGAAAAUAUGACAUGCAUUGAAAAAUAUUGUAGAAACUACAUUAAACAAGUUAGGCAAUUAAGCCUUGGAGAAGGAAAUGCAGGAGCAAUAUAGUCCUAUUUUUCAAAUAUGCAAGCACGGUCUGCAGGAUUUUACUUCUGUAUGGAUUUGGACAACAACUCGAGUUUAAGAAUAUAUUUUGGGCAAAUAAUCGAUAUAGGGAAGUAUAUAAGGAGUUUGGGGACGUCGUGACAUUUGAUACCACUUACUUGACUAACAAAUAUGACAUGCCUUUAGCACCUUUUGUUGGCGUCAAACACCAUGGACAAUCAACAUUGUUCGGUAGUGGUUUAGUCUCUAAUGAAAGCACGGAUACAUUUGUGUGGUUUUUUAGGACAUGACUUAAAUGUAUGCACGAUCAAGCUCCACAUGAAAUAAUUAUUGAUCAAGACAUGGCAAUGCAAAUGUCAUUCAGGUAGUUUUCUUAAAUACAAAGUAUAGAUGGUGCUAAUGACACAUUCUGAAGAAGUUGCCUGAAAAAUUUGGGUACCACAUCAAUAAAGGUUCAAUAUUCUUAGUAAUAAAUGGUUAGGUGUAGGAUUGUCAGACGGUUGAAGAAUUUGAACAAGGUCGGGGAUCGAUGAUCUAAACAUUUGAGUUGCAUGAUAACAAAUGGUUGUCGGGGUUAUAUGAGAACAAAGGUCGUUGUGUCCUUUGCUUCUUAAAAACAAAUUUUUGGAUUGGGUCAACCAAGUGAGAGCAUGAACGUAUUUUUCAAUGGGUACCUGCACUCGAAGACAUCGUUGAAACGAAUUGUUGAACAGUAUGAGUGAGCAUUGAGGAACAAGGUGGAGAAGGAGCUCCAUGCUAAUUUCAAGUCGUUCUCUCCAAUGGUUCCGAGUGCAACAACACAUGAAAUGGAAAAGCAAUUUCAAAAAGUCUACACAAUUUCAAAAUUCAAAAAAGUUCUAGCUGAGUUUACGGAUAAGGUUUACCGCAACCUCAUAUCUGCCUCUGAGGGAUGUUUUGGGACGACAUAUGAGGUACGAGAAAACGUCGUUUGCAUCGAUCGACGUGAAAAGAAAACAUUUUGUCUUGUUUCAGAGAGAUAAACGUGAAGUUGUUUGUAGUUACCACUUGUUCGAGUUUCACUAAAUCAUUUGCAGGCAUGUGAUCAUAGUAUUAAUCCGUAACGACGUCACUAUACUACCUACUAAGUAUGUACUUUGUAGGUGAAUGAGGGAUGUCAAUUGAUUGUACACGAGGAUCGCAAUAAAAUAUGAUGAUCUAGUAAGUACUCCAGGAUAGUUGAAGUAUGACAUAUGUGUUAAGCUUUCGCCGAGGUGGUAAACCUUGUGGCACAUGUUGAAGUACGGACCCGUGCGAUAAUGGAAUGGAUACAAGUUUAGUCUAAAGAGUUUUUGAUGAAAAAAUGGAGUACUGGAAACAAAAUUUUGUAGUCAUCAUACAAUUCAUUUAGGAUCGCAGAGUACUGGUUCACAAAAUGCGUACAACAUGAGCGCAUUGGAUCUUAAAGUGGUAAAGAGAAAUGGCACACCUAGAAACUUCGGAGGGAGAGCCCGUUGGAGUCGACUUCGAAGAAGACAAAGGUAUUUUGAUUUGUUUUCCUACAAACUUCAAGUGAAUAUUAAAAUAAAUUAUCGUUUAUUUCAAAUGGACAUACAAGCACCUUCAACAUGCAAAGGGAAGCGACCAACAGCGAGGCAUAGCAGUAUACCAGUGGGUGCACCUCAUGUUGAUGCAGCUUAACGAGAAGAAUCUUCCACAUAUUCACCAUUCACAUAUUCACAACUCUUGGUGGUUGGUAUACUUAUUAUAGCAUUUUCAUUACUUCUUUGUUACUUACUAUAGAGCCACAAGGGAAGUCAUUCGUUCACAAUUCCUUGUCCUUCGUCUAAUUGGAUCCAUCCGUUGUCGACACAUUUUAUAUUCAAUUCCAAAGGUCACGGUAUUCCAUACUUCUAUCAACAUUUACCGCAUCAAAGAAGCAUGUGAUUGUGAUAGGACAAAGUCAAUGGAGGGACAUAGCUAAACAAAUUUGCGUAUGGUUGAUGAAAUGCUAGUAGUAGAUAUUGUCCAUAAUCUUAUAAGCUUAAAGUGUACCUAUGGAGAGAACAAGAAUGGUGAAAUCUGAUUUAAAUUGUUAACUUGAUAAA